rnacentral:rRNA from 1 species
UACGUAGGGUCCGAGCGUUGUCCGGAAUUAUUGGGCGUAGAGAGCUCGUAGGCGGUUUGUCGCGUCUGCUGUGAAAUCCCGAGGCUCAACCUCGGGUCUGCAGUGGGUACGGGCAGACUGGAGUGCGGUAGGGGAGAAUGGAAUUCCUGGUGUAGCGGUGGAAUGCGCAGAUAUCAGGAGGAACACCGAUGGCGAAGGCAGUUCUCUGGGCCGUAACUGACGCUGAGGAGCGAAAGCGUGGGGAGCAAACAGG